CAUAAAUUAUAGGGUAAAAGGACCUUAAAGACAUUUUUUGGUGGAAAUUUGUUUGGUUCCGCGGUAGAGGCAAUCUUACUACGCGAAGCGAAUCAACAAAAUAAGGAAAAUAAUUUUUGUUAAUGUUUGACCGAUAUAAAGAAAGUGAUAACAUAAAUUUUUUUGUU